rnacentral:lncRNA from 1 species
AGUGCUAAAUAAGGGUUUAUUAAUAUUUUAAACAAACAUUAUCCAAAUACCACCAAAUUUUGGGUGGAGCCAGGGAAUAAUAUUCAGAGGCUCCCCACAAUUUUUGGUGAUUUUUGGACAUACAAUUAAAUUAUUAAAAAUCAUACAAGUUUUAUCUGCUAAUUAAAAGGGCCAAUUUUUACAGAUAGGCAAACUACCAGAAAAAUAAUACUUAGUAUUUAUCUUAUGCUACAAACAUUUUAUGGAAGCUAUACAAAAAAUUCUCAUGAUUUUUGGAUCAUCACAGAAUUUACUAAUUGAGUUCAAAUAUCAAACACUUUUAAACAAAAAGGAAAAAAAAAGAAAAAAAAAAACUAGCCACGCGGCCGGCCCGCUUGGCCUCGGCCCACGCUGGCUCGAGCGCUCGCUCCGAGCGGAUGGCGCGCGCGGCCCCCUCCCCUCA